AUGGCGGUGGACAUCACACUGCUGUUCAGGGCCAGCGUCAAGACCGUGAAGACGCGCAACAAAGCACUGGGAGUGGCAGUGGGCGGCGGGGUGGAGGGCAGCCGCGACGAGCUGUUUCGCCGGAGCCCCAGGCCCAAGGGCGACUUCUCCAGCCGAGCGCGCGAAGUGAUUUCACACAUUGGCAAGCUGAGAGAUUUUCUUCUGGAACAUAGAAAAGAUUAUAUUAAUGCUUAUAGUCAUGUCAUGUCUGAAUACGGGAGAAUGACGGACACAGAACGAGACCAGAUAGACCAAGACGCUCAGACGUUCAUGAGGACCUGCUCAGAAGCGAUCCAGCAGCUGAGAACACAAGCCCACAAGGAGAUACACUCUCAGCAAGUGAAGGAGCACAGGACUGCCGUUUUGGAUUUCAUUGAAGAUUACUUAAAAAGAGUGUGUAAACUUUACUCAGAACAAAGAGCCAUCCGAGUCAAGCGAGUGGUGGACAAGAAAAGAUUGUCUAAGCUGGAACCAGAACCAAACGCAAAGACAAGAGAAUCCAUGUCUUCUGAGAAAGUUUCACAGAGUCCAUCAAAAGACUCUGAAGAAAAACCUAUCCCUGAAGAAUAUCCAGAAAAGGUUCCAGUCGAAGCACAACCUGAAUUGGGAAGCUGGGGAGAUGGCAAAGGUGAAGAUGAAUUAUCCCCAGAGGAAAUACAAAUGUUUGAACAAGAAAAUCAGCGCCUGAUUGGUGAAAUGAACAGCCUGUUUGAUGAAGUGAGGCAAAUUGAAGGGAAAGUGGUUGAAAUCUCCAGACUCCAAGAGAUCUUCACAGAGAAGGUUUUACAGCAAGUAAGAAAAAAUAAUGUUUUCAGUUUUAACUUAAAGGGACAUCUACUCAGAACUUGGGACAUUUCUCCUGAAGUCAUCAGGCCUCCGCAACUGUUUCCUUGUGGCUUAGCUGGUAAAGAAUAUGCCUUCAGUGCAGGAGACCUGGGUUCGAUUCCUGGCUUGGGAAGAUUUGCUGGAGAAGGGAUAGGAGACCACAGUUCGAUUCCUAGGUUGGGAAGAUCCCCUGGAGAAGGGAUAGGCUACCCACUCCAAUAUUCUUGGGCUUCUUUGAUGGCUCAGCUGGUAAAGAAUAUGCCUUCAGUGCAGGAGUUGAAUCCCUGGGUUGGGAAGACCCUCUGGAGAAGGGAACAGCUACCACUCCAGUAUUCCGGCCUAGAGAAUUCCAUGGACUGUGGGACAACUUUCCACGUGCCCCAGCCCCAUGCAGCAGAGCCCGUGGGCAAGGGAGGCAGCUAG
rnacentral:lncRNA from 1 species